GAUGAACGCUGGCGGCGUGCCUAAUACAUGCAAGUCGAGCGAACAGACGAGGAGCUUGCUCCUCUGACGUUAGCGGCGGACGGGUGAGUAACACGUGGAUAACCUACCUAUAAGACUGGGAUAACUUCGGGAAACCGGAGCUAAUACCGGAUAAUAUAUUGAACCGCAUGGUUCAAUAGUGAAGGACGGUUUUGCUGUCACUUAUAGAUGGAUCCGCGCCGCAUUAGCUAGUUGGUAAGGUAACGGCUUACCAAGGCAACGAUGCGUAGCCGACCUGAGAGGGUGAUAGGCCACACUGGAACUGAGACACGGUCAAGACUCCUACGGGAGGCAGCAGUAGGGAAUCUGCCGCAAUGGGCGAAAGCCUGACGGAGCAACGCCGAGUGAGUGAUGAAGGUCUUCGGAUCGUAAAACUCUGUUAUUAGGGAAGAACAAAUGUGUAAGUAACUAUGCACGUAUUGACGGUACCUAAUCAGAAAGCCACGGCUAACUACGUG
rnacentral:rRNA from 1 species